GAACCGUGUCGCAACUGGCGUAGAAGCGGGGUCCGCGCACCCCGCCCAAGAUGGUCACCAUCGGGGAGCGACUGACACGGAUUCGGCCGCACGCCUGGGCCGAUACG
rfam:Mycetocola reblochoni REB411 genome assembly, contig: Scaffold45